UACAGAGGUCCCGAGCGUUGUUCGGAUUCAUUGGGCGUAAAGGGUGCGUAGGCGGCGGGGCAAGUCUGAUGUGAAAUCCCGGGGCUCAACCCCGGAACUGCAUUGGAUACUGCCUUGCUAGAGUACUGGAGAGGGAACUGGAAUUUACGGUGUAGCAGUGAAAUGCGUAGAGAUCGUAAGGAAGGCCAGUGGCGAAGGCGAGUUCCUGGACAGUUACUGACGCUGAGGCGCGAAAGCUGGGGGAGCAAACGGG
rnacentral:rRNA from 1 species